UACGGGGGGGGCAAGCGUUGUUCGGAAUUACUGGGCGUAAAGGGCCAGUAGGCGGCCAACUAAGUCGGAUGUGAAAUCCCCAGGCUUAACCUGGGAACUGCAUCCGAUACUGGAUGGCUUGAAUUCGGGAGAGGGAUGCAGAAUUCCAGGUGUAGCGGUGAAAUGCGUAGAUAUGCGGAGGAACACCGAUGGCGAAGGCAAUCCCCUGGACCUGUACUGACGCUCAUGCACGAAAGCGUGGGGAGCAAACAGG
rnacentral:rRNA from 1 species